rnacentral:rRNA from 1 species
GUCGAGCGCCUCCAGCUAUGGUGAAGGCGCGGCAAACGGCUCAGUAACACGUGGCCAACCUACCCUUGAGACGGAGACAACCCCGGGAAACUGGGGCUAAUCCCCGAUAGGUGAGGAAUCCUGGAAUGGACCCUCGCCCAAAAGACGUUGAGUCCAUGCUAUUCAGCGUCGCCCAAGGAUGGAGCCGCGACCGAUCAGGUAGUUGGUGAGGCAACGGCUCACCAAGCCUAUAACCGGUACGGGCCGUGAGAGCGGGAGCCCGGAGAUGGGCACUGAGACAAGGGCCCAGGCCCUACGGGGCGCAGCAGUUGCGAAAACUCCGCAAUGCGCGAAAGCGUGACGGGGCUACCCCGAGUGCCGCCCGUUGAGGGCGGCUUUUCCACGGUGUAAGGAGCCGUGGGAAUAAGGAGAGGGCAAGACUGGUGUCAGCCGCCGCGGUAAUACCAGCUCUCCGAGUGGUGGGGACGAUUAUUGGGCUUAAAGCGUUCGUAGCCGGCUUAACAAGUCUUCCGUUAAAUCCAACGAUCUAAUCGUUGGGCUGCGGGAGAUACUGUUGGGCUAGGAGGCGGGAGAAGCCGACGGUAUUCUCGGGGUAGGGGUGAAAUCCUGUAAUCCCGGGAGGACCACCAGUGGCGAAGGCGGUCGGCUAGAACGCGCUCGACGGUGAGGGACGAAAGCUGGGGGAGCGAACCGGAUUAGAAACCCGGGUAGUCCCAGCUGUAAACGAUGCGGGCUAGGUGUU